rnacentral:rRNA from 1 species
AUUGAACGCUGGCGGCAUGCCUUACACAUGCAAGUCGAACGGCAGCAUGAUCUAGCUUGCUAGAUUGAUGGCGAGUGGCGAACGGGUGAGUAAUACAUCGGAACGUGCCCUGUAGUGGGGGAUAACUAGUCGAAAGAUUAGCUAAUACCGCAUACGACCUGAGGGUGAAAGUGGGGGACCGCAAGGCCUCAUGCUAUAGGAGCGGCCGAUGUCGGAUUAGCUAGUUGGUGAGGUAAAGGCUCACCAAGGCGACGAUCAGUAGCUGGCCUGAGAGGACGAUCAGCCACACUGGGACUGAGACACGGCCCAGACUCCUACGGGAGGCAGCAGUGGGGAAUUUUGGACAAUGGGCGAAAGCCUGAUCCAGCAAUGCCGCGUGUGUGAAGAAGGCCUUCGGGUUGUAAAGCGCUUUUGUCCGGAAAGAAAUGGCUCUGGUUAAUACCUGGGGUCGAUGACGGUACCGGAAGAAUAAGGACCGGCUAACUACGUGCCAGCCGCCGCAGUAA